rnacentral:rRNA from 1 species
AGCGAACGCUGGCGGCAGGCCUAACACAUGCAAGUCGAACGAACUCUUCGGAGUUAGUGGCGGACGGGUGAGUAACACGUGGGAACGUGCCUUUAGGUUCGGAAUAGCUCAGGGAAACUUGUGCUAAUACCGAAUGUGCCCUUCGGGGGAAAGAUUUAUCGCCUUUAGAGCGGCCCGCGUCUGAUUAGCUAGUUGGUGAGGUAAAGGCUCACCAAGGCGACGAUCAGUAGCUGGUCUGAGAGGAUGAUCAGCCACAUUGGGACUGAGACACGGCCCAAACUCCUACGGGAGGCAGCAGUGGGGAAUCUUGCGCAAUGGGCGAAAGCCUGACGCAGCCAUGCCGCGUGAAUGAUGAAGGUCUUAGGAUUGUAAAAUUCUUUCACCGGGGACGAUAAUGACGGUACCCGGAGAAGAAGCCCCGGCUAACUUCGUG